rnacentral:rRNA from 1 species
CGCAUCUGUGCAUCAGCAUAUCAAUAACGGAGGAAAAGAGAACGCUAUGCAUUGGCUGAUGAAUAAGUUAUGUGAGCUUGGUUACCUACGCUUAGGAUGUUGACACACGCGCGUGCUCGACUCUAUACAUGACUCUGUGCAUAUCAAUAAGCGGAGGAAAAGAAACUAACAAGGAUUCCCUUAGUAACGGCGAGUGAAGCGGGAAGAGCUCAAAUUUGAAAUCUUCAAGGUUUUACCUUGACGAAUUGUAGUUUAAAGAAGUGUUUUCUGUUGAAGUUUUGGUAAAAGUUCUUUGGAAUAGGACAUCAUAGAGGGUGAGAAUCCCGUAUUUGACCAUUAUUUUCAGCUGUGUGAUACACUUUCAAAGAGUCGGAUUGUUUGGGAAUGCAGUCCAAAAUGGGUGGUAAAUUUCAUCUAAAGCUAAAUAUUGGCGAGAGACCGAUAGCGAACAAGUACCGUGAGGGAAAGAUGAAAAGAACUUUGAAAAGAGAGUUAAACAGUACGUGAAAUUGUCAAAAGGGAAGCGUUUGACACCAGUGUUGUUUUCUCGAAAAUCAAUUAAAAAGAGUUUGAUUUUGUUGUGUAUUGACCUUAGCAGCUUGCAUUUCAAUUUUCUUGCUUUUUUUAAUGCACUUUUCGUUUAACAAGUCAACAUCAGUUUCUUUUGUUGUAAAAAGGUCAUUGGAAGGUGGCUUUCUUUUCGGAGAAAGUGUUUAUAGCCUUUGACUCCUGCAAUCGGAGAGACUGAGGUCUGCAGCGUAGAUCCUUCGGGGUUAGAUACAUUUGUGCUAAGUUAUAGCUUUUUAUAGACAACUUGUUGACUAUGAUUAGUCUUGUAGCUUACUCGCUUAUGCUAUUUUACCUACGCUUAGGAUGUUGACACACGCGCGUGCUCG